rnacentral:rRNA from 1 species
UACGGGGGGAGCAAGCGUUGUUCGGAUUUACUGGGCGUAAAGGGCGCGUAGGCGGCACCGCAAGUCGACUGUGAAAUCUCCGGGCUUAACCCGGAAAGGUCAGCCGAUACUGCGGGGCUAGAGUGCAGAAGGGGCAACUGGAAUUCUCGGUGUAGCGGUGAAAUGCGUAGAUAUCGAGAGGAACACCUGCGGCGAAGGUGGGUUGCUGGGCUGACACUGACGCUGAUGCGCGAAAGCUAGGGGAGCGAACGGG